GCCUAGCUGGCUUAGUUGGAGAGCAUGUGACUCUUGAUCUUGGGGUUAUGGUUUCAAGCCCGAUGUUGGGUA
rnacentral:tRNA from 1 species